UUCUCCAGAAAACCUUGAAAGGGCUUA
rnacentral:piRNA from 1 species